ACUUACGCCAACUUGCUUGGGCUUAAUGAAGAAACGAUAAAUUAAUGAAAAUGAAAGUGGAUGAAAAAACAACCUUCGCAUUUCGUGUGCGAUGUUCUACCAAUUGAGCUACCGCGGCGCCGUUCCCCAUCCACUUUCAUGGGUAUUUAUAUUGUGGGAUCGUUCCCCACCUGCAGCAAGUUGUUUUUAAUCCACUUUCAUUUCCAUUAAUCUAUCGUUUCUUUAUUAAGCACAAGUAAUUUCCCCUAUGUUGUCCUUGGUGUCAGUGUUUGUUGCCUUCUUAUGAGGUUGUCUACUAGUGUUGCUUGUGUAAAAGUAUCAGAAAUUCAAGCUGAAUUUCAUAUUCUGCAUACUGCUUCGCCUAGUAAUCGUGCUUCAUUGUACAGAUGCUCAAGCUGAAGUAAUGAGGAGUCAGUGACAAAGUGGCAAACAAGUGUAACUUCAUGUUGCGGGAGGUUUAAAAUGGCAGGAGGUAUUGUAAGCUGCAUGAUACUUGUCAUUACUGCGAGUUUUUUUCUAUGCUCAAGCUGAAGUUAUAAGGAGUCCGUGACAAAGUUAUAGACAAGUGUAAUUUCAUGUUGCGGUUUGAAAGGUUUGAAAUGGCAGGAGGCAUUAGUCCCUGGUGGUACCAUGGUGGCUUCAGAGACACAGUGCAGCCAGAGCACUGGCAUCAAUAAAUACCACGAGUGCAAUGUGUGCGGGCAUCAUUUCAUGCUCGUGGAGGAGAAGCCAAGUGCAUGCCCCAUCUGCAAGCAGACGUUUGCUCAAAAGCAUUCAGUCACGACCCAACAGCUCGUGCACUCUGUCAAAAGACGGUUUCCCUGUUCUAUACGUGGGAAGCUGUUUAUGCAGAGGUACCUUGCUGUGCAUAGGACUCGUACCAGCACAAGAAGCUGUUCCAGUGCUGUCACUGUUUGGCAAUAUUAGCAAACAGGAGGUCACUCAAAGUCCACAUGAGACUGCACACCAAUGAGAAGGCACACAAGUGUAACACGUAUGGCAAGCUGUUCAACGAAAAGCGUUCAUUAGUUCAGCACCAACCCAUUCACGCAGACGAGAAGCAAUGCAAGUGCGAGCUGUGCCCAUCUGUGUUUCGCCACAAGGAGCCACUGAACAGACACAAGGAGCUCCGUACUAGGGGAGUAGACCUGCACCACUGCAAUGAGUGUGGUGAGAUCUUUGUGUGGAAAGGGAAACUGAAGGAGCAUCUGCAGUGGCACAUAAACAAUAUGCUUUACACAUGC